AUGCGCGAUGCCUCCACGUGCUCGUCCGACAGCCCCAGGCUGUUCUGCAGCUCGUCGAUCACCGCCCGCCCGCCCGCGUGGAUGCAGAAGUGCUCGAACGCCAUGCGGAAGUCGGGGAGGUACGGCUUGAUGCUCUUGUUGUUGAACACCCGCCGCGCGAUGAAUGACAGCGCGAACAGGAGCUGCUCCGACGCCGGGAGCACCAGGGGCCCGAUCGCCGUGAUGUUCGCCUUGAGCGCGUCGCCGGCGAUGGUCAUGAGGUCCUUGUUCAGGUUGAUGCCACGGUGCCCCUCGUCGUCCUCCUCCUGGUACACGCACCGGUACGCGUUGUCUUGCGCGCCGGUGAGCGUGCGCACCACGCGGGAGAGCCUAAAGCGGGCCUUGGCGCGGGACGUGGACAGCAGCGCCGCUGCGCCGCCCAUGCGGAAGAGGCAGUUGGGCAGGAGCAUGGCGCGCUCUUUGCCGACGUAG
rnacentral:rRNA from 1 species